AGUGAACGCUGGCGGUAGGCCUAACACAUGCAAGUCGAACGGCAGCACAGUAUGAGCUUGCUCUUACGGGUGGCGAGUGGCGGACGGGUGAGGAAUACAUCGGAAUCUACUUUUUCGUGGGGGAUAACGUAGGGAAACUUACGCUAAUACCGCAUACGACCUACGGGUGAAAGCAGGGGAUCUUCGGACCUUGCGCGAUUGAAUGAGCCGAUGUCGGAUUAGCUAGUUGGCGGGGUAAAGGCCCACCAAGGCGACGAUCCGUAGCUGGUCUGAGAGGAUGAUCAGCCACACUGGAACUGAGACACGGUCCAAACUCCUACGGGAGGCAGCAGUGGGGAAUAUUGGACAAUGGGCGCAAGCCUGAUCCAGCCAUACCGCGUGGGUGAAGAAGGCCUUCGGGUUGUAAAGCCCUUUUGUUGGGAAAGAAAAGCAGCAGGUUAAUACCCCGCUGUUCUGACGGUACCCAAAGAAUAAGCACCGGCUAACUUCGUG
rnacentral:rRNA from 1 species